rnacentral:rRNA from 1 species
GCUUGUCUCAAAGAUUAAGCCAUGCAUGUCUCAGUAUAAGCUUUUACACGGCGAAACUGCACAUGGCUCAUUAAAACAGCUAUCGUUUCAUUGGUGGUUAUUGAUUAAAUGGAUAACCGUGGUAAUUCUAGAGCUAACACAUGCGCCCAGACCCAACUUUUAGGAAGGGCUGUAUUUAUUACGUACAGAACCAAUGCAGGCUCCGCUUGACCAUUUGGUGAUUCAUGGUAACCGAACGAACCGCACGGCACCAGCUGGCGAUGGACCAUUUCAGUUUCUGACCUAUCAGCUUCCGACGGUAGGAUAUGGGCCUACCGUGGCAAUGCCGGGUAGCGGAGAAUUAGGGUUCGAUUCCGGAGAGGGAGCUUGAUAAACGGCUACCACAUCUAAGGAAGGCAGCAGG